UUUAUGCUGUUUAAAAUAGUGGCGACGAGGAUAAAUUCGGUUUCGGUGCGGCAGCUAAUUUUUUCGGUUUUGUUUUUCGAACCACAGUCGGAGACACAAUUCGCCCCAGUUGGCCGGAAGAUAAAGUGAAAAAAAGAUAUUUUUUUACGAUCUACAUAGUGGGAGAUUUGUGCGGCAAACAAUAAAUUAACGGAUCCGCUCUUCGGUUUCAUUGGAAAUUCGGUUGUUUCGUGGUGAGAUUGACCAAUUCAUCGGAUUUUGGCAGACAUGUCGUUUGUUGUAGCCCCAAACAUUGAGCCUUACCGUAAGGGCCAAACUUUUGCCACUUGGAUCAAGCGUCUAGCGGUCCAUAUCCGG